GAGACCGAUAGCGAACAAGUACCGCGAGGGAAAGAUGAAAGAGCACCCCGGAAGGGGAGUGAAAUGAGAACCUGAAAUCAUUAGGGUGGAAGCAUCUGGGGGUGCGAUGUGGGGAUGGUUAUAAUAAGCCAGUUCCUUUGAUCGAUCCCAGCCGCGCAUCGCACGAGACAGGUCCGACACGGAUCUGAAACGAAUCUCGUGACACGAUGAGGGGCUGUGUAGAUAGAGACAGAGUCAGGCAUGUCCUGCAUGACCUGAUCACGAGGAUCGAUCCAACAUCCUCCGAUGACCCGUCUUGUAACACGGACCAA
rnacentral:rRNA from 1 species